UACGGAGGGUGCAAGCGUUAAUCGGAAUUACUGGGCGUAAAGCGUGCGCAGGCGGUUUGUUAUGUCUGUUGUGAAAUCCCCGAGCUCAACUUGGGAAUUGCAAUGGAUACUGGCAAGCUGGAGUAUGGUAGAGGAAGGUGGAAUUCCCGGUGUAGCAGUGAAAUGCGUAGAGAUCGGGAGGAACACCAGUGGCGAAGGCGGCCUUCUGGACCAAUACUGACGCUCAUGCACGAAAGCGUGGGGAGCAAACAGG
rnacentral:rRNA from 1 species